GGCGAGCGCGCGCAGCGACCUUUGAAGGGAAGAGGAAGUGCUCGGGCGUCGCGCGGCCGGAGGACGGGUUGGCGAGGUGGNNNNNNNNNNNNNGGCCUCGGCCCCUGUCAUCGCGACGCUUGGCCCGCAGUAGGAGCACCAUGUCCGCGGAGGGCCCCGAGGCGGCGGCUGCAGAGGGUGAGAUGGCGGGAACGUGCCCGGGCGGGCGCGCAGGGUCCUCAGCCGUUCCCCAGGUGCCAUGCGGGGCGCCCCGAGUCUGGCCCGGAGCCCGAGCGGCUCUGGACGUCGCUUGGCUCGGGAAGUUCGCGUUUCCGCCGAGCGGGUUCGGCCCCGGGGCCUCUUGGGCCCCCGCCCGCGUCUUAUAGAGGUCCGCCCGCCGUGGGCCGGCGCGGAGCCGGGGCUCUGAGUCGGUCUCGUCGGACGCCGCUCGGGCCGGUGCUGCCCUGCUCUCUUGGGACCCGGGCAGGCCAGGGGACGGGAACGUCUGCGGCGUCUCGUCUCCCGAGUUGCGACGGACAGACCCAGCUUCCAGUUGCCUUACAUGGAGGUGGCUGGGAUCUAGAGCUAAGCAGUCAUCUGAGGCUGACAGCGCACCACAGACUCCCACAGGGAGGACAAGUGUCAGCGGAGGGGUGGCCUCCUUAGACUCUGGCUGAUGAGGCAGCAGUUCGUGUGCUGAGGCUCUUAGGGUGAGCUCAUGAUGCCCAAAGAUGGGUGAAAGUGGGAACAGUGGUUUAUGUCACAUACCUCAUGUGACGUCUUUGGGGCAUACCCUUUAUAUUAAUCACUUUCUUGUUGCCAUGACAAAUACCCAACACUCACACCUUAAAAGAGGAGAGGUUUAUUUUGGCUCCCAGUUUCUGUGGGUUCCGUCCAUAGCCAGCCGGGUCCAAGGCAGGAAGGGCGCGGUAGAAGGGGGUGACAAGGACAGCUGCUCACUGUGUGGCCCCUCAGGGGCAGGCCACGAGAACACACCCUGCCGAGGCAUACUCCUGGUGAGAGACUUUUGAGGAACAAUUUCGGUCUAGACCAGUGACAGGGAACCUUUUCAAGCUUUCAGUAACAAAAAGCUGGCUGUGGCACACGUGCCAUAGGUUUGCUCCAUGGUCUAGACCUUAACAUUAAACAGCAAGACUGGCAGUCACCUUGAUCUGGAGUCUCUGACUGGCCGAGCGCAUAGUUCAGUGUUGGGAGCAUCCUGUGAGUGGGAGUUGUGACCACAGUGAAGAAUCCAGAGAUGCAGGAACCUGCAGUGUAAAAUGGAAAGUCGGACGGCUGGGCAGAAAGGGAGGAUGUAAGGUCCAGAGAGGCCGACGGGAAACUGUUUGACAGCUCCUCCCUUUUUCUCAAAACUCUUUGAGACAAUACACAAGGGAGCUGUUAAAGAUGAGGAAAGGUUCGACAAUACAUAAAGUGAAUCAGUAUUAAAUGUGGAUAUAAUUUUGAGAAAAAUUUGAAAAAAUAGUGUAAAGUUAAUUUUAUCAGUUCCUAGAUAAAAGAUUGUCUAAGAGCAGUUGGUUUGACAUUGGUGGAUUUAACAUCCCUGCUUUUUUUUUUCAAACUUUUAAAAAUUGUAUCCCAUUCACCCCCUUAGCCCCCUCCCCAUGUAAAAAGGCUUUGUUUCCAUUUUUUCCUUCUAUUUUCACUUUUUUUUUCUUGUCCCUUCCUUUCUCUCUUCUUCCUCCCUGUUCCCUUUCCCAUUUGAACACUUUCUUCACAUUUCCCAAUAUCCAUUAUACAUCUCAGUCCUUAUUUUCACAUUUAGUUUCUCACACCAAAGAAACAAUGUAGUAUUUAAACGUGUAUGUCUGAUUUAUUUCACUUAAGAGUGUGGUCUCAAGGUGCAUCCAUUUAGCUAUAAAUGUCUGCAGCUCAUCCUUUAUGGCAGAGUAGUACUUCAUUGUACAUAAAAAAACCCCACAUCUUCUGUAUCCAUUCAUUGGUUGAUGGGCAUUUGGGCUGUUGUCAAGAUUUAGCUAUUACAAACUGUGCUGCUGUAAACAUAGGUGUGCAUAUAUCGCUGUAGUGUGAUGCUUUUCAUUCUUUCGUGAAGAUACCAAGAAGAAGUAUAGCUGGGUCAAAUGGAACCUCUAGUUUUAGUUUUUGAGGAAUCUCCACACUGAUUUCCACAGUUGGUUGCACCAGUCUACACUCCCACCAGUGGUGGAAAAGGGUUCCUUUUUCCCCCACAGCCCUGCCAGCAUUUGUUGUUGGUUGAUUUCUUGAUAGCAGCCAUUCUUUAUGGAGUGAGGUGGAAUCUCAGUGUUGUUAUAAUUUGCAUUUCACAAAUGACCAAAGAUGUUGAACAUCUUAUUUUUUCAUAUAUUUAUUUGCCAUCUCUAAAUCUACAUCUGAGAAGUGUCUUUUCAUUUCAGAUGCCCAUUUUUGCAUUGCGUCUUUAAAUUUGGGGGGGGGGCUGUUUUUUUUUGAGUUCUUAAUAUAUUCUAGAUAAUAGUCCUUUAUCCGAAUAGCUGGUAAAAUUUUUUUCCCACUGUAUGGGUUGUCUCUUCACUCUGUUGGUUUCUCUUGGUGUGCAAAAGCUUUUUAAUAAGAUGAGGUCCCAGUUGUUGAUUCUUUGUAGUAUUUCUUGUACAGUCUGCGAUAUACCCC
rnacentral:lncRNA from 1 species